AUAAGCCCGUUCAAUUGGGCAACUAGGGCUCAGAAGGGUGAAUUCCAUCAUUUCCCUCCAUUUUCGGAGUGUAUGGUGAACUCUCCAUUUGAACUUCAAGAUUUCACCAUUUUGCUGCUCCAACUAUCUCAUUCUCCGAUCUUCUGAUGCAAUCCUAACUGUUAGGAAAUGGCUUUUAGAUCAUCAAUGUUGAAGCUCUCGUUGUUUUCUUCUUCUCCGUCGCAAUCUUUUCGUUUACGGUAUUUGAUUUCCACCUGUGCUACUCCGGCGCCGAGUAUUUUCCGGUGCUGUUCCAUUUCUACUGCUACUGAUGGUAAGAAGGUAAAGAAGGCGAAGCAGAAGAAAACAAAGAACGUUAAGGCGAGUACCGCUGUUCCGAAAUCAUCCGAGUCUUCGUCUUCGUCUUUGAAAUUGGCUUUGGUGAAGGAGAAAAGGAGGACUCGUUCCACUAAGGAGUUUGAUGAGAAAGCUGUCCAGUUCGGGGAUACUGCUGCUCACAUUCCAGUGAUGCUUGCGGAAGUAUUGGACGUGUUUUCUGCUUCUUCCGGAAGGUCGCUUCGCUCCUUUGUAGAUUGCACCGUCGGUGCCGGUGGACAUUCCUCUGCUAUAAUUCAAGCGCAUUCAGAGUUGAAAUUUUACAUGGGAAUGGACGUCGAUCCAAUUGCACUUGAUAAGGCUCAAGAUCGGAUUAGUGAUCUUUUCUGCGAGGAUUCUGAUUUGAAAGUAUAUACCGUUCUGAAGAACUUCAAAUAUAUGAAAUUGCUACUGGCUGACUCAGAUGAGAAACCUUUAGAACCUGGAGUUGAUGGCAUUUUGAUGGAUUUGGGCAUGUCAUCCAUGCAGGUGGAUGAUCCUGAAAGGGGAUUUAGUGUUCUUUCCGAUGGUCCUCUUGAUAUGCGAAUGGAUCCUCAGGCAAGUCUAAAAGCAGAGGACAUAUUGAACAGCUGGCCGGAAAUGGAAGUGGGGCGUGUGUUGCGUGUUUAUGGAGAAGAAAGUAACUGGUACUCACUCCAAAAUAAAAUCGUAAAAGCUCGAUCACAGGGUGGAUUGCAUACCACCAGUGAAUUAGUGGAUCUUAUCCGGAAAUCAACCCCUGGGAUCAAAGGAGGAAGGCAAGGUUGGAUAAAAACAGCAACCAGAGUAUUCCAAGCUCUGAGGAUUGCUGUGAAUGACGAACUGAAGGUAUUAGAAGACUCGCUUUAUAGUGCUUUCGAGUGUCUGGCUCCAGGAGGCCGACUUGCAGUGAUUUCCUUCCACAGUUUGGAGGAUAGGGUUGUAAAACAAACAUUUCUGGACAUCAUUAACAUCCCCAAGACGGAAGGGUGGGAUGAAGAAGAGGUGAUUAGGGUGAAUGAUGAUAAUAAUAGGGAGGAAAAAGAAGAAGAAUGGAUUAAGCAAACAGUAAAAGGUUCAAAAGGUAGAAUACUCACAAAAAGACCAAUAACUCCAUCUGAAGAGGAAGAGAGGUUGAAUCGGCGAUGUAGGAGCGCUAAGCUGAGAGUAAUUCAGAAAAAUAAUGCAUUUUAAUAACGACGUGAUUGUGAUUUGGUGCUCUGCUCAGCCAAGCUUUUCUGAAGGGGAGGAGGAGAAUACAGAGAGCACAAGCAAAUACCAUGUAUAAUGGCUGCACCAGUAUCGUUGGGUAUCUCAAACACCAGCUUCUUAUACCGUUCAU